AAACAAACAGGGAUUGCCUCAGUAACGGCGAGUGAAAGCGGCAAGAGCUCAACUUUGGAAUCGCUCCGGCGAGUUGUAGUCUGGAGGUGGCCACCACGAGGUGUUCUAGCAGCAGGCAAGUCCUUUGGAACAAGGCGCCAGCGAGGGUGACAGCCCCGUACCUGCUUUUGCUAGUGCUUCCUGUGGCCCACCGACGAGUCGAGUUGUUUGGGAAUGCAGCUCUAAGUGGGUGGUAAAUUCCAUCUAAGGCUAAAUAUUGGCGAGAGACCGAUAGCGAACAAGUACAGUGAUGGAAAGAUGAAAAGCACUUUGAAAAGAGAGUGAAACAGUACGUGAAAUUGUUGAAAGGGAAGGGCUUGCACCCAGACACGGUUUCGGCCGGGCCAGCAUCAAGUAGAACGGGGUUAAAAGACCUGGGGAAUGUAGCUACCUCUUGGUAGUGUUAUAGCCCUUGGGUGAUGACCCCUGUUUUGCUUGAGGACAGCGGUCUCUAGGAUGCUGGCGCAAUGGUUGCAAGCCACCCGUCUUGAAACACGGACCAAGGAGUCUAACGUCUAUGCGAGUGUACGGGUGAAAAACCCCUGCGCGGAAUGAAAGUAAGAGGUUGGAACCCUCUCGGGGGUGCACAAUCGACCGACCCAGAAGUGCU
rnacentral:rRNA from 1 species